GCCUUACACAUGCAAGUCGAACGGCAGCACGGGGGCAACCCUGGUGGCGAGUGGCGAACGGGUGAGUAAUGCAUCGGAACGUGCCCAGUAGUGGGGGAUAACCAGUCGAAAGAUUGGCUAAUACCGCAUACGACCUAAGGGUGAAAGCGGGGGACCGUAAGGCCUCGCGCUAUUGGAGCGGCCGAUGUCUGAUUAGCUAGUUGGCGGGGUAAAAGCCCACCAAGGCGACGAUCAGUAGCUGGUCUGAGAGGACGACCAGCCACACUGGGACUGAGACACGGCCCAGACUCCUACGGGAGGCAGCAGUGGGGAAUUUUGGACAAUGGGCGCAAGCCUGAUCCAGCCAUGCCGCGUGCGGGAAGAAGGCCUUCGGGUUGUAAACCGCUUUUGGCAGGAACGAAACGGCGAUUCCUAAUACGAGUCGUUAAUGACGGUACCUGCAGAAUAAGCACCGGCUAACUACGUGCCAGCAGCCGCGGUAAUACAGAGGGUGCGAGCGUUAAUCGGAAUUACUGGGCGUAAAGCGCACGUAGGCGGCUUGGUAUGUCGGGUGUGAAAUCCCCGGGCUCAACCUGGGAACUGCAUCCGAAACUGCCUUGCUCGAGUAUGGGAGAGGGAAGUGGAAUUUCCGGUGUAGCGGUGAAAUGCGUAGAUAUCGGAAGGAACAUCAGUGGCGAAGGCGACUUCCUGGACCAAUACUGACGCUCAGGUGCGAAAGCGUGGGGAGCAAACAGG
rnacentral:rRNA from 1 species